rnacentral:rRNA from 1 species
UGCCAGACUCCUACGGGAGGCAGCAGUGGGGAAUAUUGCACAAUGGGGGAAACCCUGAUGCAGCGACGCCGCGUGAGUGAAGAAGUAUUUCGGUAUGUAAAGCUCUAUCAGCAGGGAAGAAAUAGCGACCUUUGGGUCGCCAGACGGUACCUGACUAAGAAGCCCCGGCUAACUACGUGCCAGCAGCCGCGGUAAUACGUAGGGGGCAAGCGUUAUCCGGAUUUACUGGGUGUAAAGGGAGCGUAGACGGCAGCACAAGUCUGGAGUGAAAGGCCGGGGCCCAACCCCGGGACUGCUCUGGAAACUGCCUGGCUGGAGUACAGGAGAGGUAAGUGGAAUUCCUAGUGUAGCGGUGAAAUGCGUAGAUAUUAGGAGGAACACCAGUGGCGAAGGCGGCUUACUGGACUGUAACUGACGUUGAGGCUCGAAAGCGUGGGGAGCAAACAGGAUUAGAUACCCGGGUA